rnacentral:rRNA from 1 species
GACGAAGGGGGCUAGCGUUGUUCGGAAUUACUGGGCGUAAAGCGCGUGUAGGCGGUUGCCAAAGUCGGGUGUGAAAGCCUUGAGCUCAACUCAAGAAUUGCACUCGAUACUUGGUGACUAGAGGACCGGAGAGGAUAGUGGAAUUCCCAGUGUAGUGGUGAAAUACGCAGAUAUCAGGAGGAACACCGAUGGCGAAGGCAGGUCUCUGGGCAUUAACUGACGCUGAGGAGCGAAAGCAUGGGGAGCGAACAGG